CCAAUAGCGUAUAUUAAAGUUGUUGCAGUUAAAAAGCUCGUAGUUGAAUUUCGGGAUCAAUAUGUCGGUCGUGCCUUCGGUACGUACUGGUAUCAUUGGUCUCUCCUUUCUGACGAACCAUGAUGUCAUUAAUUUGGUGUUAUGGGGAGUUAGGACUGUUACUUUGAAAAAAUUAGAGUGUUUAAAGCAGGCUUUAGCUU
rnacentral:rRNA from 1 species